GUAACCUUUUUGGAGCCAGCCGCCUAAGGUGGGACAGAUGAUUGGGGUGAAGUCGUAACAAGGUAGCCGUAUCGGAAGGUGCGGCUGGAUCACCUCCUUUCUAUGGAGA
rnacentral:rRNA from 1 species